UACGGAGGGUGCUAGCGUUGUUCGGAAUCACUGGGCGUAAAGCGCGUGUAGGCGGCUUCGUAAGUCCGUUGUGAAAGUCCAGGGCUCAACCCUGGAAUGCCGAUGGAUACUGCGGAGCUAGAGUCCGGAAGAGGCGAGUGGAAUUCCUGGUGUAGCGGUGAAAUGCGCAGAUAUCAGGAGGAACACCAAUGGCGAAGGCAGCUCGCUGGGACGGUACUGACGCUGAGACGCGAAAGCGUGGGGAGCAAACAGG
rnacentral:rRNA from 1 species